AUGGGGCCCCAGCAAAAACCCACACACAGCUGACAAAGGGGGGCUCAGGACAGCAGGGACCAGCCCUGGAAAAGCGGGAAGGGUGUGAGCAUUAGCAACUAUCAUUCUCAGGAGGAAGCUGGGGGAAAACAGGGCUUUCUACAAGGAGGGGCUAGGGACUAUAACCAGAGGCAGGCUCCAUGAAGGAGCCAGUGGUGCCAGGGAAGCAGAGAGCUGGCAGUGGAUCACAGUUGCUGACAGUUGGAGGGGAUAAAGGCACAUCAGGCAGGUUGUAAUUCCACCCCUCCCAAGGUAUCACCUCCAGCAGAGGCUCGCAAAUACUAGUUCAAACUGGAGUACUCACACACCAAAGAAAAGACUUUUGGAUAAAUAGCCUGGAUUUACACUGACUCGGGAUCUUCUUCCUGAUCUAGCAAAGGGACAGGCCCUUUGGUCCAAGAGGGGCCCGCAAUCCCUGUGGAAGGGCCGACACCUACCAGAGAGUCAGGCUCGGGACAGCCAGUUGCAGGGCAACCAGGGACCUUUGGAUCGAGCCAGGAGAGGAAGCACCUCUCGUAGAGAGAUGGAGGUGAUCAGACCCACCUACACUAACCAGCUCAAGGACCAGACACAACCCAGGCCAGCUUCAUGCUCCCAGCAGCUCACAGCCCAGAAUCUCCUUGACAGGCAGGAAGCCCCAUAUCCCCUGUGAUGCCGCAAAAGCAGUGCAGAAGAAUCUACACUUUGAUGUUAAGCAGCACGUUCUACCUGAGCACUUGAACAUUAAAAGAUUCAAGUUCACCAUUUCCACCCACCAGGAACUAUCCCCAUUUCACAGGUGGAGAAACCAAGGCACCAAGAAUGGAAAAGGCUUCCACAAAGUCACAAGGUGAGUCAAUACCAAAGCUGGGAAUGGACUACAAAUAUGGUUUCAUCCAGUGCUUUUACCUCAAGAAAACCCCUCGUUUCCAUGAGGUUUGGCUUGGAAAA